GACGAACGCUGGCGGCGUGCUUAACACAUGCAAGUCGAACGAAGAGCGAUGGAAGCUUGCUUCUAUCAAUCUUAGUGGCGAAUGGGUGAGUAACGCGUAAUCAACCUGCCCUUCAGAGGGGGACAACAGUGGGAAACGACUGCUAAUACCGCAUACGAUCUAAACUCGGCAUCGAGGAUAGAUGAAAGGUGGCCUCCACAUGUAAGCUCGCACUGAGGUUGGGGAUUGCGUCUGAUUAGCUAGUUGGAGGGGUAAAGGCCCACCAAGGCGAUGAUCAGUAGCCGGUCUGAGAGGAUGGACGGCCACAUUGGGACUGGGACACGGCCCAGGAUCCUACGGGAGGGAGCAGUGGGGGAUCUUCCGCAAUGGACGGAAGGCUGACUGAACAAAGCCGCGUGGGUGAUGGCGGGCUUCGGGUUGUAAAGCUCUGUUUAUCGGGACGAAAGGCCUUCUUGCGAAUAGUGAGAAGGAUUGACGGUACCGGAAGAGAAAGCCACGGCUAACUACGUG
rnacentral:rRNA from 1 species